GGUGGGUUGGCUCAGUGGUUAGAGCGUAGGUCUCAUAAACUAAAGGUUGCGGGAUCGAAUCCCGCUAGAGGCUG
rnacentral:tRNA from 1 species